rnacentral:rRNA from 1 species
CACGUAGGGCGCAAGCGUUGUCCGGAAUUAUUGGGCGUAAAGAGCUCGUAGGCGGUCUGUUGCGUCUGCUGUGAAAACUCGGGGCUCAACCCCGAGCGUGCACCCGAUACUGCCGGGCUUGAGGCAGGUAGGGGAGAUCGGAAUUCCUGGUGUAGCGGUGAAAUGCGCAGAUAUCAGGAGGAACACCGGUGGCGAAGGCGGGUCUCUGGGCAGUAACUGACGCUGAGGAGCGGAAGCGUGGGGAGCGAACAGG